CCUACGGGACGCAGCAGGCGCGAAAACUUUACAAUGCGGGCAACCGUGAUAAGGGAACCUCGAGUGCCUGUACAUGCAGGCUGUCUGGGUGUCUAAAACACACCCAAAGAAAGGGCCGGGCAAGACCGGUGCCAGCCGCCGCGGUAAUACCGGCGGCUCGAGUGGUGGCCACUUUUAUUGGGCUUAAAGCGUUCGUAGCUGGGUUGUUAAGUCUCUUGGGAAAUCCGGCGGCUUAACCGUCGGGCGUCUAAGAGAUACUGGCAAUCUUGGAACCGGGAGAGGUGAGGGGUACUUCGGGGGUAGGAGUGAAAUCCUGUAAUCCUCGAGGGACCACCUGUGGCGAAGGCGCCUCACCAGAACGGCUUCGACAGUGAGGGACGAAAGCUGGGGGAGCAAACCGGAUUAGAUACCCAAGUAGUCC
rnacentral:rRNA from 1 species